GGAGUUGUGGCUCAGUGGUAGAGUGCUUGUCUAGCAGGCAUGAGGCACUGGGUUCAAUCCUCAGCACCA
rnacentral:tRNA from 1 species